CGAGCACGCGCGUGUGGCAUAUCAAUAAGCGGAGGAAAAGAAACUAACAAGGAUUCCCCUAGUAACGGCGAGUGAAGCGGGAAGAGCUCAAAUUUGAAAUCUUAAAGGGUUUCCCUUUACGAAUUGUAGUUUAAAGAAGUGUUUUCUGUUGGAGUUUCGGUAAAAGUUCUUUGGAAUAGGACAUCAUAGAGGGUGAGAAUCCCGUAUUUGACCGUUACUUUCCAGCUGUGUGAUACACUUUCAAAGAGUCGGAUUGUUUGGGAAUGCAGUCCAUAAUGGGUGGUAAAUUUCAUCUAAAGCUAAAUAUUGGCGAGAGACCGAUAGCGAACAAGUACCGUGAGGGAAAGAUGAAAAGAACUUUGAAAAGAGAGUUAAACAGUACGUGAAAUUGUCAAAAGGGAAGCGUUUGACACCAGUGUUGUUUAGUUGAAAAUCAAUUAAAUAUUUUUCGAUUUUAAGUAGUAUUGACCUUAUCAGCUUGCUGCUUUUUUCUCGGAAAUUAUUUAAUGCACUUUUCAGUUAACAAGUCAACAUCAAUUUCUUUUGUUGUAAAAAGGUAAGAGGAAGGUGGCUUGCGCUUCGGCUCAAGUGUUUAUAGCCUUUUACCCCUGCAAUCGGAGAGAUUGAGGUCUGCAGCGUAGAUCCUUCGGGGUUAGAUACAUUUGUGCUAAGCUAUAGCCUUGUAUAGACAACUUGUUGACUAUGCUCAGUCAUGUAGCUUACUCGCUUAUGCUAUUUUACCUACGCUUAGGAUGUUGAACUCUAUCACACACAG
rnacentral:rRNA from 1 species